rnacentral:rRNA from 1 species
UACAUAGGGGGCAAGCGUUAUCCGGAAUUAUUGGGUGUAAAGGGUGCGUAGACGGAGAAACAAGUUGGUUGUGAAAUCCCUCGGCUCAACCGAGGAACUGCAACCAAAACUAUUUCCCUUGAGUGUCGGAGAGGAAAGUGGAAUUCCUUGUGUAGCGGUGAAAUGCGUAGAUAUUAGGAGGAACACCAGUGGCGAAGGCGACUUUCUGGACGAUAACUGACGUUGAGGCACGAAAGUGUGGGGAGCAAACAGG